AUCCUACAGCAGGCCAACAAAAAGCAUAAUGGCAGAAAAAGAUUUCUAGUUCUGGUGAGCUUUUCUUCUAAGCACUCUUCUUCUCAACAAGUUUCUCAAUAAGAUCAGCAGCAUCCUGAACUGUUGCGAUGCUCUGGGCACUCUCCUCUUCCACACUAAUAUCGAAUUCCUCUUCAAGUCCCAUAACAAUCUCAACCGUAUCAAGAGAAUCUGCUCCAAGGGCUAAAAAUUUUGAUUCGCCAGUAACAACAGUUUCAGGUGAUAAUGCCAGCUGUUUCUUCACUAUUGCACACACCUUUUCUACUGUUUCAGGCUUGGCAGCGCAAGAAACCCGAAGGCGAGUUGGAACUGGCCGCACCCUAAAGGACAGGAAACUUCUCUGGUUUGGAAGUGAAAAUGAUUUCAGUCUAGAGAUUCUGUCUGCAGACUUCAUGGAGACCGAAGAACCAGCGGCGGCUGCCAUGGGAGGAAUGAAGAGGUAGAGCGAAGAGAAAUAGAGAUUGUUGGCUGAAGAGGGACGGCGAAAACGAGGUAAGUUGCAGUAUUUAUAGGUGGCC
rnacentral:misc_RNA from 1 species